rnacentral:vault_RNA from 10 species
GGGCUGGCUUUAGCUCAGCGGUUACUUCGUCAGUCUACGGAGCUUUGCUUUGUAACUAUCCUUGAUGGUUCGAGACCCGCGGGCGCUCUCCAGUCCUUUU